CCCCCCCCCCAGCGAAGUUCUUGCGGAGAUCUGCUGAAACGGGACAACAUAUGCUGGUAUGAGAGCAAGAACAACAGGAGCUCCGCAAAAUCACUGGUUCGGACCUGCUGGUGAUCCAAGAGGAGCAGGAAUCGGAACUCCAGAAGCAAUAAAACUCGUCUGGUCGUGUCACCGAGAGAUCAUAUAUGACAUCGGACCUUUGCCUCAGAAUUGGGAACUUCCGCCAUCAACGUAGAGAGAAGUGUUAUUAUAUGUAUCUUGUCGUAAACUGGCUGAUAUGCCCUAAGUUAAUAGUGAAUAAGAGUUCCUACACAUUGAGUAUGAGAGUUAUGUAGGAGAAAAUGUACCUGUGGGGUUGUAAUAGAGCCGGCAGAUUGAAGCAUUGUUAUUAACUAGUAUUCAUCCCGUGCCAAACACGGCAUCCUUACAGAUUAUUUUUGUGCGUAAUUUUUCAUCA